rnacentral:misc_RNA from 1 species
GAACGCACAUUGCGCCCAUUAGUAUUCUAGUGGGCAUGCCUGUUCGAGCGUCAUUUCAACCCUUAAGCCUAGCUUAGUGUUGGGAAUCUACUGUAUUGUAGUUCCUGAAAUAUAACGGCGGAUCUGUAAUAUCCUCUGGGCGUAGUAAAUUUUUUCUCGCUUUGGUUAGGUGUUGCAGCUCUCAGCCGCUAAACCCCCCAAUUUUAAUGGUUGACCUCGGAUCAGGUAGGAAUACCCGCUGAACUUAAG